GCUGCAGAUAAAUCUCCGCUUAAACCAGUAGAUAAACCUAAACCAUUUGACUUGAAAGACGACAAGGUCCCAGCUAAACCUGAGGGCAAACCCAAGUCUCCUCUUGACUUAGUUAAGCCAAGUCCAAUAGUGUAUUCAGACGAGGAAAGUGAUGAGGAAUAUGGUGUUCCCAGACCUCAAGAAAAGCCUGCUAGCCAUCCAAUUCCUUCCGCAGUUCCUUCUGUAGUGGCUGCAGAUAAAUCUCCACUUAAAGAUAUCCUCAAACAGGAAACUGUUGUGGAGCUAAAGACAGAAGAAUUUGCAAGUUCAACUAAGACAAAUAUUGCCACUGUGGUCUCGCAAACUUCCGAUUUGAUAACAAGUUCAUUCCCUGAAGAUAUACCUAAACCAUUUGACUUGAAAGACGAUAAACCAUUUGACCUGAAAGACGACAAGGUCCCAGCUAAACCUGAGGACAAACCCAAGUCUCCUCUUGACUUAGUUAAGCCAAGUCCAAUGGUGUAUUCAGACGAGGAAAGUGAUGAGGAAUAUGGUGUUCCCAGACCCCAAGAAAAGCCCGCUAGCCAGCCAAUUCCUUCGGCAGUUCCUUCUGUAGUGGCUGCAGAUAAAUCUCCGCUUAAACCAGUAGAUAAACCUAAACCAUUUGACUUGAAAGACGACAAGGUCCCAGCUAAACCUGAGGGCAAACCCAAGUCUCCUCUUGACUUAGUUAAGCCAAGUCCAAUAGUGU
rnacentral:lncRNA from 1 species